AUUGAACGCUGGCGGCAUGCUUUACACAUGCAAGUCGAACGGUAACAGGGUGCUUGCACCGCUGACGAGUGGCGAACGGGUGAGUAAUGCGUCGGAACGUGCCGAGUAGUGGGGGAUAACGCAUCGAAAGGUGUGCUAAUACCGCAUACGUACUGAGGUAGAAAGUGGGGGACCUUCGGGCCUCACGCUAUUCGAGCGGCCGACGUCUGAUUAGCUAGUUGGUGAGGUAAAGGCUCACCAAGGCGACGAUCAGUAGCGGGUCUGAGAGGAUGACCCGACACACUGGGACUGAGACACGGCCCAGACUCCUACGGGAGGCAGCAGUGGGGAAUUUUGGACAAUGGGCGCAAGCCUGAUCCAGCCAUGCCGCGUGUCUGAAGAAGGCCUUCGGGUUGUAAAGGACUUUUGUCCGGGAGCAAAUGCCUGGUGUUAAUAGCACUGGGAGCUGAGAGUACCGGAAGAAUAAGCACCGGCUAACUACGUGCCAGCCGCCGCAGUAAUAC
rnacentral:rRNA from 1 species